GACGUAGGGCGCGAGCGUUGUCCGGAUUUAGUUGGGCGUAAAGAGCUCGUAGGCGGCUUGUCGCGUCGACCGUGAAAACUUGGGGCUCAACCCCAAGCCUGCGGCCGAUACGGGCAGGCUCGAGUUCGGUAGGGGAGACUGGAAUUCCUGGUGUAGCGGUGAAAUGCGCAGAUAUCAGGAGGAACACCGGUGGCGAAGGCGGGUCUCUGGGCCGAUACUGACGCUGAGGAGCGAAAGCGUGGGGAGCGAACAGG
rnacentral:rRNA from 1 species